ensembl:lncRNA
CUGCUUUCCUUGAUAUCCCAAUUUUUUAUAGAGAAAAAGAUAAAGUAUAUUCUUGUGAGUAGCAGCCAUAAAAAAAUGCUGAUUAAAAAAAUGCCAAUCCUCCUGAGUUUGUUUGCUAAUACAUAUUUUUAUUGCUCAUUUCUAUAAAUUAUAAGCCCUCUUUUCACCACACAGCAAAUAUGUAAUUAUGAAAAUGUCAUUGUACAAGGUAUGAUAAUCUGCAGCUUUGGUUUAUUUUAGAUCAAACUAGAUCCUAGCUCAAACUUUUAUGAAAUCACUUUACCCAUUUCUGAAAGAGGUACUUAUUUUGAUACAACAAAACAUCUUUUACAUUACUACAUAAUGCUUUAUGCAUUAUCAACAGAGAAAUUCAACAAAGUUGAAAUUUCUAUUAGCCUUAACCCAUCUUACGGGGUAUUUUGGUUUCAGAAUUUUUAACACUUUUCAGGAAUUAUGCUCAAAAAUAGCCCUCAUUUGUGUGUGUGUGCCUCAUUACUUUAGAAAAUUUUUUUACCACACUUACAUUGCACAUGAUUUUAAGAUAAAAGGUGUUUAAAAACUACAUAAACUAAAUAUUUUGCUUGGUUGCUGAAUAUUCCCAUCUUUGCCACAAUUUGCAAAUAUUUCUGAAAAUUUUAUUGCAUUAUUCCUUUAUUAUAUAGGGCUUUAUUUCCCUUCUUUGCUUAUAAGGAGUGAAAAAUGUCAAUUCAUUCAAAAUAUACAUAUCUCUGCCAAUACUCCUAAAGUCAUACAAGAACUAAACACAUAAAGCAAGGGAAAUAGUCAGUGAAAUAUGCAUUUAUGACUUUCACGUUUUGGAUUGUAAUUCUUUCUGCUGGGGCAAUUUGAAACAGGCAUUUUGCAUAUAGCAUCUCAAUAAAAUUAUCACAUUUUGAGGUAGAUGUUACAUUCAUUUUAAUGUCGAGCAAACUAAGGCAGAGAGAGAUUAAUUAAAAAAAAUUAAACCAAAAGUUUUAAAAUUAAACCAAAGUUACAGUUAAGUAGCAGUAGGGCCAAUCUGACUCCUUCCUAUUUUUCAAUUCCUACUGUCUCCUAAAGAUGUUUUCUUUCUUUCACUAUGAGAAAGUGAAGUAAAGGCGAUAGAAAUACUUUUCAUAUACCUACCUAUUCUCACCAAGUUUACUCUCAUAUUUCUGAGUCAUCGGGGAAGAUUUUAAUAUUCACAACUAUAUCAACUACCUUUAAACAAAAGUUAGAAGUCCUGAGGUUUUCAAAACCCAGGACUAGAAAAAUCGCAAACCUAUUUUCCUUGGCACCUUGUUUCGUAAUAUAUGCUAUAUAUUUGAAACUUUCAGAAUAUGCCACAAAUAAAAACUAACUCACGACUUUUUUUCUAGCUCUAACAAAAACUCUUCCCACAAUUUUUUUUCUUGAAUGUUUUCUGUCAUUUAACCACUCUCUCACAUCCAUGAUUUUUAUCAAGUACAAUGGUAUUCUUUUCACUGCUUAGUGUUAUCCAUUAACAAAAUGCGAUAAAGUAAUUUUAAUUACAUCACAAUUUUUUUUUUGCCAUUGAAAUCACAAUUGAGACUUAAAUCACUUUGUUUUGGGGCUUUUGAUAUACAAACAAUUCAUAAUUUCUUAAAAAUUCUUAAACAUAAGUCAAAACAAGUACACAGCUACUAUGUUCUAAUGUCAAGUCUAAAAUGUAAAAAGAAAUAACGAAAUAAUGUUUAGACUUCUAAACUUUAGAUUAUUUAAAACCGCCACUGUUACAUAAAGCGAAAAUGAUAGUUUACAAGACAUAACGAAAUUCGGAUAUUAAAAUACGCAAAAUAUACACAGGUCCAUUUCUUAAGGGAACGUGGAAAAUUUAACACACUUCAAAUAAUGGUCGUGGGAUGUUUUUCGCUUAUUUUUAAUGCACCAGAUUUAUUUACCAAUUCAAAGGAUCUCUUAUGGGGAGAUACUUAAAACAUCCCCGGCGGUAAACAAAUCAAAUAUAUUAGAUGUAUAAGGACCAGAGCCGGGGCAGAUGCGAGUUCCUAAGUUAUAAAUACUACCUUUUCAAUAAAAAGGUGGUAUUAUAUAGGAUCUCCAAGGAAUAUCGACGUAUAAAAAAAAAUACUGAGAAUGCUGACCACCAAAGAGAUAACAGGUGAAGGCUUUAGGGGACUGAAGAAUGAGCAACAAACCCAACCAACUCAAAAUGCAUUAUUCAUCCUCCAAAGAACCGAAACAGAGGAAAAAAUACAACAGGUCCUCGCAACACCGAGAGAAGUUUAAGCCUUAGGAGGUGGGGACCAGCACCCCUUCCUCGCUGUUUCAAAACUCCGUUGCUAAGCCUCCCUCCGCGGAAACCAGCAGGCGCAGGAAGCAGGUGCUCCGUCCACUUGGGGCCUCCACAGGGCCCGCAUCCUUCUCGGCCUCGGCGCGCAGCACGCGAAGCGCCCCCGGAAGUGCCAGGGGCGGGCGGGGGCGGGCGCUAGCUGGGGAGCCGCGCGCGGAGUGGGAGGGGCGGCGCGCGGAGUGGGAGGGGCCGCACGAGGCCACGCCCCUCCCGGCUGCGUCCGCGGGCUACAGCCAGGGCUCUGGGGGUUCCGGGGUCACGGCUCGGAUCCCCGAGCCAGGUUCGUGCGGAGCCGGCUCCUCCUUGUCCCCGCGCGGACGCGGCCCCCGCUGCUCCAGGUGCAGCUGCAGCAGGGCGCGGCGGUACAUGGCCUCCAGCUUCUCCAGCCGGGCUCGCAGGGCCCGCGGGCUGCCCGGCUCGUCCCCGGGGCCGCCGCCUCUAGCCCUGCGGUUCCUGCCGGCCUCCUCGGAGCCCGGGGUCGCCCUGGCCGCCUCCGCGGGCGCCCCGUCGGCGCCCUCGCCGGGGAGCCGCAAGGCCUGACGGAAGAGGCUGCGGUUCUCGCGCUUCAGCCGCCGGUUCUCGAGCCGCAGCCGGGCGUUCUCCUCGCGCAGCCGCGCGUUCUGCCGGUCCCGCUCGUCCCGCGCGCGCAGGGCCUCCAGGUGGCUGGCGGCUAGGUCAGCGAACCGCUCCUCCAGCUGCUGGCGGCUGCCGCCCGCCCGGCCUCGCCAGCCCGCGCCGCUGCCGUCGCCGCCCCCGCGAACCCGGCCCGGGCGGCUCUGCCCGCCGCAGCAGCUCCCGCGCCUGCCGGCGCCAGCACGCAUGCGCCACAUCGGGCCGGUGCCGCCAGCGCCGGGGGCCGGGGCCUGGGGCAGUGGGGCGGCCUGGGCGCUAGCGGAGGAGGAGAGGCGGUGGCGGGCGGCGGCUGCUGGCCUGCAGCCAGAGGAGGCCGGGAGUUGGCCGGGCCCGAGGCGGGUCUUGUCUCCGGUGGUGGAGCUGCCCCCGGGCCUGCGGUCUCGGGCCCGGCGCACACACCGUGUCCCCGGGGCGCGCGGGGAUGCUGUGUCCUCCGCGGAGCUCGGCCCAGGCGCGGCGGGCACCAGCCGGCCUGCGCCGCUCUCCCCGCCGCCACCAGCGGCUACCUGGCUCUUUCCUUGGCAAUCUCAAAGCAAAUGAUCGUAAAAGGAUAAGGUCUGGGCCAGAGAGAUGGGGCAAGGUGGGAAGCUGUGACUGCCUCGUUAGAACAGAGUGGUGUAGCCCACCUCGAAGCUUCCAACGUUUAACCGAGCUGAGACGAGCGCCUGGCAUGAGGCCCUCAAGUGGGAACAGGGAGCUCUCGAAAGAAUAUGGCCAAUUCCGAAUUUGUGAACAGCUAGGACUCCACUUAGCAAAUUGUUGGCAGUUCUGUAGAAACAAGGUUGUAAUUAGUUGAUUUGUUCAGGACUGUUCACAAAACCUAGGAAACUCAGAAUGUGCCCCUUCCAUUCAAGAAACUUGGAAUACUCAGUUCCAAAAUUUCUGAGGACAGGUGGAUAGAACUCAUCGAAUGAAUCACAUUCCUUGUUUUUGAGGGAUUCAACUUACGAAAUAAUUGGAUUAUUGCAAUGUAAAUUAAGGAUAAAAUACUAUGCCAAAAUCUCCUGGGGCAGAGAGGCAGCAGCAAGAAUGUACAUUUUAAACAAGGUUCGAGGUUAUUCUGCGGUUCACUGCAGUCUCCAAACCACUUGAGAAAGUAAAUGGACAAGAAGAGCAGAUGAGAACUCUAGUUCACAGAGUUGGCGUUUUCAUUGAACUGUACAAAUAAGUAACUAGGGGAAUAUAUAGAGUUACUCAAUUUUUUAUACUUUUAGUUGCCAAAUAAGAUCCUAAAACACCACAAACAUAGAAAUCUCUCAGUUGUCACCAUGAUUUCAUGAAAUAAAGUAGGAAGGAUAUAAUUUCAGAAUUUCAAAAAAUAUAAAUUUAGUUUUAUGAAAGACCAUAUCAUUCUUAGUUUCCUUAAACAGUGAAAACUUUGUUGCAGACAUGCGCAGACUGCUCUAUGGAUCAUUGAACAAAACAAUAUGUUUUUUCCCUAGUGUAUAUAGAGAAUGCAGGAGAUAAUGCUGGUGUGUAAGGAAAGAGGAUUAGUUCUUAAUUUUAGACGUUGAAUUUUAGGGACCUAUGAGAUAAGAAGACAGGCCAUGUAAGGUAAAAAAAAAAAAAAAAAAAAAAAAAACUACAUAACGCUUCAGUCACCUACACAUUUGUAAACCUACCAGUAUUCUCUUUUUGCAGCUUCCCAGAUUAAAUCUGUUCUGUUACCGUUGUAGAAUAUCUUCUAAAUUUUAGUAACUCACCACUGUAAUGAGCCAUUGUGGGUUUCCUAAAGAGCAUUGAUGCUGGUUCUGUGAGAAGGCGUCCAUGCCCUCCUCUUUACACGUGAGCGAACCCCGAAGUACUCUCUUUUGCCUUGAUAAAUUAAUGAAUUGAUAUAAAAUACUAUGAAAAGCAGGUAAAACUGACUAAGCAGAAGAGCCAGUAAAAUUGUCAGACCGUUAGUUAUAUUUUAACAGUAACUAAUCUGAGUAUACAUGUAUCCUUCCCAAAGACAGAAUUCGUUAAUACCACUCUGAGUCAGGUAUUACUAGAAAGGAAGGAAGACAGGAAAUGAAAAAUAAAACGUGGGGGGGAGUAGAAAAAAUUGAUCCAACAAAAAGCUGUCAAUAACAAUCAUGAAGGUUAUCUGUGCAUAGCAAUGAAUAUUCACCUCAUGGUUAAAGGAGAUUCCACCCAUCUUCCUGAGUAGGAGGCAGAGACAAUGGAUGUGAUUGCUAAUUGAAAGAUUUGGGACAAGUGAGUUACUGAAAUGGCUACUACCAAAAUUGUUGUUUGUCUUUAAUUUUACUUAGAAUAGUAUGUCAAGAAAUGUGUACCUGAAGAUGCACAUUGCAUCAUUUCUAAAUGUAGCAGUAGCACAAAACUUAGUAAAAAUGCUUGUGCCUGCUAUUAUUUGUUAGUAGUCUACUGAUGAAAAUAUUAUUGCACAAAUAAUAUAACAUGUAUAUGAAAAUAAAAUGGGAAAAAUCUCAGAAAGAAUUUAUGAAACUAAUAAAAUUUAGAAGAAAUGUGGAGAUAUAGUAAUCCUUAGAAGAAGAGAAUAUAGAAAAAUACAUGAGCUUUUAAUUAGAAAAAUAUAUGAGAUAGAUGCCAGUACUUUCUUUUAAGAAUGGGAGUUUCUAAAAUUACUUGCAUGCUACAUAGAACAAAGUUUCAAAGGACGUAGAUUGCUCUUUCCUGAUAUCAUGUACAUCAUCCUUUAAGCUGGUUUAACUUGAGAAAAAGAGGUAAGAAUUCUAUAAUAAAUUUGACAUAAAAAAUAACUCCAAGGACUAUUUGUACUUUCUCUUUAGAAAACUCUAAAGCUGAAGAUUAUUCUUUGACUAAGGUUAUGAAGUUUGGAGUAGAAGAGCAGAAAAAUGCAAGUAAGUCAUUUAGAGUACUUUUUUUUUGCUACUUUUUUGAAACAACUUAUUUUUUUAUUAAGGGGACUUUUUGUAAGUAUUUAUGUUUCCCCCCUACACACAUCCUCAAUGCCCUCUCUAAUUAUUCAACAACUUAAAUUUCAUUUUUAAAAAUUGUUCUCUCUCCUAUUUUAGGUAAGAGAAGAAAGAUGAACCAGUAAGAGUAAAGUCAUUGUACUUUUUAAUAUAAUGCCUUAAACCAACAGUUUUGUGACUACCGUAGUUGAGAAAAGCUGUGUCAGCAAACUGGAAUGGCAGUGGUUUUUGCCUUACACAUCCUGCAUCUAUUUUAGUAUUUCUCAAAACCAACUUUGAUUGAUACCAUUUAAGUAUGUUGCUCCCUUUCUUCCAUCCUCCAAACAAAUUGUUCUUUCCAUACAUGGUAGCCAUUACGUAUUUCUAGGUGCUUGCUUGACAAGGAAGCCCUAUCAUAUAUAUAGUUUGUAUCCUGUAUUCCCAGUUGAUUUCUAAGAUUCUUUUAUUGCCAUACUCAUUUGACCCUCAUUUUUCCAUUUUGAAUCACAUCUCUUAUAAAAUAAGUCAUAUGUUAGGGUAAUUUAUGGCACAUUCACGUUGGGACAAGUCAUCCUAUAUCCAAUACCUUUCUGUUGCCUCUCUCCUUAAAACAUACUAUAAUGUCUCACCAAAUGAAGUCUGGUUAACAACUUUGGUCAAGUUCCGUCAUGUCAAAGUGUUGAGCUCCUUGGUCUGGCAGUUACAGCUGUCCAUAAUCUGGAUGACUGGGUGUUUCCAUGCUUACCUUCCAUUACUCCCCUUCUGGUCCAUUCACUAUCCUACCAAGAGUUAUUGAGUUCUUUUGCCUUGGAGUUUGGUUAUAAUGUACCUUCUGUGGACUGAGUUGUGUCUCCCCAAAAUUCGUAUAUUGAAGCCCUGACUGCCAGUGUGAGAGUGUUUGCAGAUUGGGAAGUUAUUAGGUUUAGAGGAGGUCCUGAGGGUCAGGCUCUCAUGAUAGCAUUAGUGACAGUAGAAGAAGAGAUGUCAGAAAGCUUGCUUCCCCUGUCUUCCCGCCACUUGAGUACACAGCCAGAUGGUGGCCAUCUGCAAGCCGGGAGGAGAGCCUUCAUGGGGAACUGAAUCAGCCGGUACCUUGAUCUUGGACUUGCCAGCCUCCAGAACUGUGGGAAAUAAAUUCCUGCCUUUCAUUUUUUUCUCACUUAUCUGGAUUGUAAAGAAUCCAUCAAGGUAAAAUUUAUACUCUACCAUUUCAUAUAUUUGUCUUAGAUCCCCUGAACUCGGGGUGCUUUUCCCCUCUUUUAAACAUUGACAAAGUCAUUCCUGUUCCAGUAAUUUGAGGCCGAGGUCUUUGCCUCUGUUAACAUUUCUUGUGCAAACGGAUCUGCAAAUAGGAUGUGAGUUCCUGGAGCACCUUAUAUUGUGUGUGUGAUACAAAUAUUUCUUGAGUGGCUAGAAUGUUGAAAGCAUUUAUUCCUCAUUUUAUUCUAUAAUCUUAAAAGAAGACUUCACCAAGUAAAACUACUAACCAUUUAAUAGUCAAAGUUAACCUGUAAUAUCCAGAAGACUGAGCUAAUUGAAACUUACCAAGGAAGGUUUGUAGAAUGCUAGAAUUAGCCAGACUGAAAUAGGAAGGAGAUUGGCACUGCCUUAUUAAUGACAAGCCUUGUUAAUGACUUGUCGUAAUAUAUACUAUAUAUAUAGUGGGUCUUUAUAUGUAGAGUUUUAAAUAUGUAAUGAAUAAGAGUUAUGGGUUUUAGAGUAAGAUAUACUUUAAUUUGAUAAAUACCACAACCCUCCAAGAUAUAUGGCCUUGGACAGCCUCCUAAAGCCACAGUUUCUUAAUUUGUACAAUGGAAAUGAAAUAGUGUCUACCUCAUGGGGUUCUUGUGAGGAUCACUGAAUAUCUUAAUAUAGAGUCAGCCAGCAAGGAGGACUCAAUAACUCUUGAUAGUAUUAUUAUUAUUAUUUUGUAAUUGUUUUUAUUUUAUUAGAGAUUUAUAGAAUGGGUUCUUGUGAAUAGCCAGUGCUAUUUAAAAUCCCCAUUUGAAUUAGUUGCCUAAGGAGCCACCGCCAAAAUAAUAUCCCCUUUCCAGAUAUGAUUCUUAUUUCUUGAUAGUUCUCAUUAAGUGUUUGGGUUUUAAAAAUCCAUAUUUUGCAAGCCCACGUGCUGAAGAAUUUGGUUAAUCAUUCUGAGGUUGGUGUUUGCUAAUAUUCUCUCUAAAGCCCUAGCUGAGCAUGCUUUAUUUUCUGGGAGCCAAUUUAUUAGGGCUAUCAAGAGCAUGUAUUGAUGCUUGGUUGCAUGAAUAUCUCUUUAUUGCAAUAAUUACUAGAGAGUUAGGAGUUGAGAAUAUUGAUUGCAUUUAUUUAGUCUUUUGAUAUGGACAAAAGUAUUAAAAGCCAUCAAACACUAGCAUUGCCCUUUGACAGCAUCAUUUAAUUCUAGCUGCAGGGAAAAUUGUGACAUAAACAAAAGCAGCAUGACUUACCUAUCUUAAUUAGAAUACUUUCUAUAGUGGGGGAAAUACCCUCCUUCCUUCAAAUAUUAAAAAUGCACUAGCUAUACUAAUAAAAGAGGACAAGAGCAUUAGGGAUUAGCAGAAAGUAUUGUAGCUGAGAGCAAAAGGUAUCCACAUAGGAUACUGGGCCAAAGCAAAAAUCAAAAAUAGAUUUUUAAGGUGGGAAAUGUCUUUGUUAGCUCUAAAAUAGUGUUGUUUCAUGCUUUGUCUUUGUAGAUUAGUAUUAUUCCUUAAAGAGUCUAGAUGUGUGCUGUCCAGUAACCAUGGGUGGCUACUUAAAUUUAAGUUUAAGUGAAUUAAAAUUAAAUAAAAUCUAAAAAUCAGUUCCUCAGUUGCAGUAGCCACAUUUCAAUUUCUCAGUAGUCACAUGUGGCUUAGUGGCUAGCAGGAGGGAUGUGCAGAUAUAGAGCAUUUCCAUUAUCACAGAAAGUUCUAUUGGACAGCGCUGGGACAAUUAGUAUAUCUCGCUUCUUACUCUAAUUAUUGGUUUCAACCUUCAGAAAGCCACGCUGAAAUUGAUAAUGGAAAAGAAAAUGCGAGAGAUCUCUGUGAGUCUUUCCAGCAUAUUCUGUAUUUUUGAUUUCAUGCCAAUGAAACAGUUUUUCAUCAACCUGUACACAUAGAGCCAUCUUAUUCUUAAGCAUAUGUAACCCAAGAGAGUGAUUUCGUCUCAAUCUGAAUUCUCCAGUUACGUACAUAUUGAAGGUGGUAUUAAGAGUUUGGGGAUAAUUGCUAAUUAGAACUAAGUUAUCCAUGAGCUAUUUUCAGAAGGGUGCAAAAAACAAGUAAUUUAAUUUUUCUCUUAGUACUGCCCCUCAAACCCAUUCUGACAGCUCUUCCUUCCAUUCCCUUGGAUAAUAUCUAGAGAAGAACCAUUAAUUUGCAAUUACUUCUGAGCAUUAAUGAACAAGCCUCGUUUUCCAAUAUUAAAGGUCCAUUGCAAUGUAAUUUGAAACUUCAAAUACUCAUCCAAUUCAUGGCUUCUCUUCUCCUCACAGCAGUGUUGCUGCCCAUGCCCAAGAUGGGGGUUAAUCAGCCUGCAGUGCAAAAAGGGGGGAGAAAUUGAUGUGUCCUCUUCCAUGCUUCACUUCCUCACCUUCCUUGAGCUGCUAUUUCUAGCUCCUUCCGGGGAAGGAACGAGGUCAAAGUGGGAUUAGGGGAAAAGGAAGAAAAGUAGUUGGUGCUGCCAUUUGCUAGCUUUGGGUCUUCUGAUAGCAGAUGCCCACAUGCAAGCCUUUUCUCUUCUAGGGACCUUCGUGGGUUCGUAGCCAAUCCCACAGUGGUCCUCUGACGUAGAUCAUUCCCUUUUCUUCACUGCCAACCACUCCCUCCUCACUCCUGGUUCCGGUAGUAAACUCUGCACAGCCUCUUUCUGUGGGGUCACCUUACCUCCACAGGUAAUCAUUUUGAAGAAGUCCUUUGGGGAAAGUCUUUUGGAGAAAGCUAACACCAGUUACAUUCCUUGCUUCCUAUCAGGAAGUGUAGGAAUAUAUAUAAGAAGUGUAAAAUAUAUUAUACAUACAUAUAUAUAUAUACACACAUAUAUAUAUAUGCAGGUUCAUUUGUCAAUUCUCACUCAGUGUGUCCUCUUCACUAUCUCAUAGGUAUUUCAAAAUGAAACUUUUCAUACAUUGCCCUCCUGACCUGUUUUUCUCCCAGACUUCCCCUUCUCAACAACUAUGACCACCAUACGUCUGAUUGUUUAAGCCGGCUGUCUUCAUUGAUUCCUCCUUCUUCCUCAUCAUUACCACUCUUGGUGCUAGAUCCAUCCCGAGUCAUUUAUUUCUUCCUCUAAAAAUUCUUGAUUUUUCUCAGCAUCUCUUCUAACAUCAGGUUAGUUCACAGUACUAUCAUCUAUUAACUGGCCUAUGUGGCAACUGGUUUGCUGGUCUCAAUCUUUAGCCUCUCAAAUCCGUGCUGCACAACGCCACCAGUGUGACUUUUGCAAACAUAAAUCUGAACAUGCUGCUUCUCUGCUUAAAACCCUCCAUUGCUUCCCAUUAUACUUCUAGUACAAUCUAAAAUCCUCAUCAUGGCCUAUGGUGGCCCACACAUUCAUGAAUAAUCUCUGGCUCCUGCUUACUUCUUAGGGCUCAUCUAUUUUUGUUGCCUGCUUUUCUACUAUGCUCUAGCCAUGCUGGUUUCUUUUAAUUCUUAGAGCUUGUCAAAUUGUUUCCCACUUUGGAGAUUUUGAACAUUCAUUUCCAUCUAAUUGGAACGUAUGCUUUCUCUAUUCUAUGUGGCUUGCCUUUUUUAAAACAGAAUCCUUUAGAACUCAACUUAAAUAUUCUUUCCAUCAAGGUCUUCCUAAGUGACUUAACUGUCUUUGCUAUCUGUCCCUUCACCCUGUUCAUUUACUUCAGAAUGUUGAAAAUUGGUUGUAAGUAUAUUUUGUUUAUUCAUUUAUCCACUAAUCUUUAAAUUCCAUUUUAACACUGUUUUGUUUAUCUAUUCCACUAGUCUGUAAGAUAGAUAGAAACAGAGAUCAUAUCUGACUCGUUUAUCCCUUUACACUAUCUAGGACAAUGUAAGUGGUCAAUAAAUAUUUGUUGACUAAAUGAAUGGAUCAAGAGGUGACCAAUAUCUCUUUUUUUUAGCUACUAUUUUUAAAAAAUCCUUGAUUAUUAAAAAUAAAGUUAUUACUGAAUUAAUUUUUGCUAAGCUUAAUUUUUCCAAAUAUUAGGGAAAUAAGAGGACUUUGGAGUUUAAAUGUUGAUAAAACUGGCUCAGUUUAAUCAUAUCUGCAGGAAAUAUCCAUCUUUAGAGAGGGAGCCACCAAGAAGAGACAACAAUCCACCUAAAUAGUAGAAUUUAGAUUAGAUGCAGCAAGGCUUGAGAGCACUUAAAAAAAUGUUUGCCUUUAGGGAACUGAGUCUACACAGUGUUUUUCUAGUCCAAAAGCAACUGUAGCCUUAAGUGAAAAAACUACCUUGUCUACAUUUCUAAUUAUAUCCUCUACAAUUGGAUUCUCCCCAUGAUGACACCUGACACAGCAUUUAAAGGGGGACUUUGGCCAACAGGCAAUUGAUGAGGAAGCAGCUAGAAUAUAUUAAAAACAAAAUAAUACUGGGGACUUAGACAUAGGCAAAAAGGUGGCAAAUGUAGUAGUUAAUUACAUAAGUAUCCCUGAAAAUGCUGGGCAGAUGCAAUAACCCUUCACAGUUAAAUGGAAACCAUAUGGAAGAGUUCACCAGUGAUUAUUUACAGACUGAGGGAAGGGGUAUUUGCAUGAGAUUGUGUUGGAGCAAAGAGUAAGAAGCGAUGGAAGAGUGUGUUCCUCAAAAAAGAAUAAUGGGAUGGAAAGAGGAUAUCUAAAAAAUAUGCGUCUGAAGUGGGGGCCACACAGGGGAGAAAGGAAAUUAGACUGAUAACUCUAUAAUAUUAGGUUUCAAUUUUUCUCAAGUACAUUUUUGCUAAAACAAAGAUCUUGAUUUCCUAGGAUAUAACCCAGAAGGUCAUAUAGUUGAAGUUAAGUAAGCCAUUUUAAAACAGAUGGAUAGAUGGCUAAAUGAUAUAAUGAAUAAGCAAUGGGUGUGCCAGGGACAAAUAGGGACAAGGGCUAGUGCUCUGUCUCCCUCCAGCAUCUAUGCAAACAUUACUAAUCAUUCACACUGGUCUUCCCUACUAAGGUUGGAUUUGGACUCCAUCUUUAAAACUUUCUCAACACAGUGCUCCAAGCUCCUUCUACUAAUGUGUGAGAGGUCUAAUUUCAGUUUCCUCCGCAAGCAAUUGAGAAAGCAAAGCACCCAGGCUGAUCCUCUCCUUUCAAGGGCAGCAUUGUUUGCAUACUCCUAAAUUAUGUGCUUAAUUGUUGUUACUCAGCAUUUUAGCUGAAGCUAGGUGAAAGAGAGAAUAUCUCUUUGCUUGGGCUGUGAAUUCCAACUAACUUUCGAUAAAUCAUUGAAUAUAUUCCCCCAGAUUCAUAAUCUCAUGAACUCACAUAAGACGUUUGAUUAAGUUUUAGAACUGUUAUUGUUUUUCAAUGAAUGAAAUAUUAUACAUAUAUGAAAUAUAAAACAUUGAUGUAUGCAAUUGACAAUAAUAGUUCCCAUAUACUUUUAUCUUUUUAUGGCAUGUGGUAAUAAUAGAAACAUAUUUGUUUGUUCAAGAUAAUGUGAGUUGCUUAUAACAAGUACAGGAUAAAUUGUUGGUCAUUUACUUCUCUUUAUUUACUUGCUAAUGAGAGAUAUACCACAAUUUGGCAAGUUCCGCAGUGCAACAUUGGUGAUGGUCCACUGAGUGGCAUGAGAUGGAAGCCUCUCAAUCACCAAGGCCUACUCUCAAAGCAAGCUCUGAAACCUUUUGUUUGAAAAGCUAGAAAUAAUACUCUCCCCUUAUUCCAGAUAUCAACAAAGAACAAACAAAAGCCAAAUCUUUUCUAAAAUCCUCUUAAACAUCUCAGAUCAGGACUGUCAGCUGAGCCUAUUGUUGCUUAGAGAUUUAGAGGUUUCAGGGGAGACUCCAAGAGAAGGAACACUGUCUGCUUUAACAGCUCUGACUUAAAAAAAAAAUUUUUUUCUCAGCCAGCUCACCCGCAAGAGGCAUCUAUCUAGGGAUGAGACGAAGGGGUGUCAGAACAGAGCUAUCCAUCAGAAUAUGACUUAGGGGAAAAGACUAUUCAUAGUUAGAAAAAUAAAGUAAUUGAAGUCCGCAGAAUGAAGAGUAGGACAGACAUUAUAUGUGCUAACGGAGAUAGCAGGGCUCAGUGGGGAGUACUUGCAAGUGCAGAUGUGUUUCACAUUCCAUUCCCAGGGAAUGUGCUGUUUGAGUUGUUUGUUUGCUUAUUUUUAAAUUUAAUUUAUUUUGCGACAGCUCUGUGGUUAUCAUUUCAGUCUCUUCUUUCCUGUUUUAGUGUACCUGGGGUGCUACUGAUCAAGAAAGUGAAGGCAUGUUCCUGGCCUCCAGCAGGGCUGAGGGCCCUGUGACACACUCUGAGGCUCCCUGGCCAGGGAUGGAGCAGGGCUGGGAGCCACCCACAGGCAGUGUUUCCUCUGCCAGGUCACAGACACUGGUCCCUGCUCACGCGGGAUCUUACAGUGUCAGAAAGUGUAAUUCCAACUUCUUGUUCACAACAUUGCUUUCUAUUUCAGGGAACUGGACUGUGGGUUUGCCACUAAAAAGGCUGGAGACUCCUGCCCUAGAUCCUUCUUGCCAAUGAAACUUUGGCUCCAAUCAGUGAUGAUGAACUGGGGUUGACCAUUGCCUUUAAAAUCCAUUUUGCAGAGCUUUAAAGGGGAGGGAAGUGAGUUAAGUGAGAUGAUAUGAGUUCUGGUAGAUAAAGACGUGAGUAGAGAAAUUACAGCCGAAUUAAAAUUCUGUGUUCUUAUUUCCCACUUGCAUGCCUCAUCUGAUGUCUCAUAGGAGGUGUCCUCGUUUUCCCAUUCUCAUCUCUUUUUUUUUUAAUGUAAUGAAAUGUUCAAUAGAAUAUUUAGAAUCAUAAUCCUUAUUAUGGUUGCAGAAUAUUCUUUAUGUAUGACCUAAUGGCAAGUGAUAAAAGCCAAAUCAGUAUUUAAUAAUUUCCAGUCAAUUCCUGUGUUCGGGGUUCACCUAGGUAUGAACUUUUCAGAAGUUUAUACAUAUUCAGAGUAAGUGGAAAAUUAGUUCUCUUUCUCUUUCCUUGAGCCUCUGUCACUUCCUCAUUGUCAUUUUAUCAUUUUUUAUUCCAUUGCCCAGUUUCAGUUUAAAUCCAUCUCCAUCAAACUGAAACUUCUAAUUUAAGACUUUCAUUACUUCUAGGUAAAAACUACCAAAAAAAAUGAUAUGGAAGCUUAAGUGCAUAAAAAGAGAAACUGUUUAUGAAGAGGCACUAAAUAAACAAACGUAGAAACAUUCAGAAAGAAGAUGGGGUAUUUCAGACACUACUUGGUAGGACAAGCUGCCACCUGAUGUUUCACAUGAGGAUCCUGAGCACUGAGAAAUGCAGAGAAGAAAGACAGAUGACCCUGAGCACCAUGUUCUUCAACUAGGCGGAGUUAACCUGAAAAUGCCUCAGGAUGUUUAACCUCUGAAUGACUUCUGGGAAUUGUCUGAGGGCCCACGGGUAUUGUGAGAUGGUGCACGCGGACCAGCAAUCCUAUGGAGAAAAG